rnacentral:rRNA from 1 species
CAAUCUACCUUUUACAGAGGGAUAGCCCAGAGAAAUUUGGAUUAAUACCUCAUAGUAUGUGAGAAUCGCAUGGUUUUCACAUUAAAGUUCCAACGGUAAAAGAUGAGCAUGCGUCCCAUUAGCUAGAUGGUAAGGUAACGGCUUACCCAUGGCUACGAUGGGUAGGGGUCCUGAGAGGGAGAUCCCCCACACUGGUACUGAGACACGGACCAGACUCCUACGGGAGGCAGCAGUGAGGAAUAUUGGACAAUGGGCGCAAGCCUGAUCCAGCCAUGCCGCGUGCAGGAUGACGGUCCUAUGGAUUGUAAACUGCUUUUGUACAGGAAGAAACACUCCCUCGUGAGGGAGCUUGACGGUACUGUAAGAAUAAGGAUCGGCUAACUCCGUG